AGCUAAUUAGUUUAUAAUAAAAUUUUUAUUUGUGGUAUAAAAGAAUGAUUGGCUA
rnacentral:tRNA from 1 species